rnacentral:rRNA from 1 species
UACGGAGGGCGCAAGCGUUGUUCGGAAUCAUUGGGCGUAAAGCGCGUGUAGGCUGUCGGGUAAGUCGGGUGUGAAAGCCCGGGGCUCAACCCCGGAACUGCAUUCGAAACUGCCCGGCUGGAGUCCCGGAGAGGGCGGCGGAAUUCCCGGUGUAGAGGUGAAAUUCGUAGAUAUCGGGAGGAACACCAGCGGCGAAGGCGGCCGCCUGGACGGUGACUGACGCUGAGACGCGAAAGCGUGGGGAGCAAACAGG